rnacentral:tRNA from 1 species
GUCCCGGUGGCUCAGUUGGUAGAGCAUGGUGUUUGCAACGCCAGGGUUGUGGGUUCGAUUCCCACGGGGGACC